CAUUGCUGCACUGUUGCAACAUUGCCAUAAUAGUGCAGCAACAUUAUAACAAUGUUGCGUGCAACAUUAUUGCAAUGUUGCUGCACCAUUAUGGCAAUGUUGCAACAGUGCAGCAAUG
rnacentral:pre_miRNA from 1 species